UCAGAUUAUUUGCCAUCGAGUUUACUGCUGCAGUUGUUAUUUUAUUUUAGAAAAUUGAUUAGAUUAUUAUUGACAAGAGGUUCUCUGUAUGUAGCUACUUAGGAUAUUCAUUGUGCAAGGAUCAACAAAGCAUUUGGAAAAAUGAAAUGGCGAAAUGGAAUUGAUACGGAAUGAAUAUCCGCUGAAGCUUUCCCAUUUUCGUCGUAAACGUUCUUCGAAUCGUUUUCUUGCGGCCAUUUUCAUGGUCAAAAGGUGAAACAUUGCUUUAAUUUAUACCAACAAUUCUGCAAUCGAUAGUCUUGCAUAGUCCGAUUUAGAAUGGAAACAAUCUAAAGCCUUUCUUUUUAAUUGUGGCGUAAUUAAUAUUCAGCUAGCAUCCUCAUGCAGUAUCCUGCAGGAUAAGAACUUGUUUUUUUACACUUCUUAGGAAUCAGUAGUUAGUUUGUAAUAGGUUCAUUGAUUAGAAUGAAUAUUAUUUUUGUUGGAGCAUUCGAUUAAAUGUGCCUGUGUAAUUGUUCACGAUUAAUAGAUUCUUUGAGUCCAUUAAUUGUCCACAGACUAGGGUACGGUUAAUUCAAAUAAUUAUAUAUGAAUAUUUAAUCUUUGUUAUUUUUUUUAAAUAAAUAAAUAAAUAAAUAAAUAAAUAAAUAAAUAAGCAAAUAAAUAAAGAUCAUUAGAAAAUCGAGACGCAACCAGGUAGAGUAGAAAACGCAGUUGAGAAUAUAUGUUGGGAUUCCUCAGUGCCAUUUGGGGUGAUUCAUUCGCGAAUAUAACCACUUCAGAAGAAAUCAAUACUUUACGUUGCAAGCACUUACCAUUCAUUAGGUUAAAAAAUAAAAAAACAACAGCGAAUGUGCUUUUUACUUCCCAACUCUCCCUUACUAUUGUGUAGCAUUCAAUGCGUGCAUUAACGAGUGGUUUGAGGUUCAUUGCGUAAAAUGAGAUCAAGUCGGGAUUAAGUCGAUUUAGAUUAGUGUUACGUCCCGUAUGGUACAGGCCUCCAAAAUAUAAUAAUAUUUCGCAAGCAGCUUCUACCUUACGGAAUUUGUACCAAUUUCGGCCUUAUCUGCUAUGUGCAGUUAUGACAUGGGAUUGAUACCGGUAGAAUGCCGAACAGGUAGAACAAAUUGAGGUGUUAACCUUUUUACCUUAAUCCAGUUGAAUUAUUUCCGGACCCUCCGGAAAUCCACGUGCAUCCCAAUAUAAAGAAUGUGGAAAGUCUCUUUUGUUAAGAGAGAUAGAAGCGGGAUGACAGGGUUUCUUGAGAUGCUACGCUGUCCUCAACAUGCUUCUAUUAUAUUGAUGUAUAAGCUUAUUUGGUUAUUCUUCUCUUACGCGUACGUAACAAUUAGUUUCGUGUGAGUAGAGUAAGUAUUUAGUAUUAGUAAAUUGUAAUGCAAACUUUUCUCUCAUAUGUAUAUCUUUCUUUGAUGGUAAUGUGCGUUUCGCAAUGAUCAGUACUAGAUACGAUGUUAGUACACGUUUGUUUUAUGAUAAAUGCAUUGAAAAUAAUAAAUAUAAUUGACACAUAUAAAAAUUAGCAUAUAUCGUAAGUAAUAGAUUUAAGAUUACCCCGACGAUUCUAGAUUUCUAGAUUCUAGAUUUAAGACUAUCCCGAAUAAAUUAAGAACUAAGGAACUUAAGAAAAAAUUCGAAAAUAUAAUUUGAUGACAGAUUUGAAAUUAAGAAUAGAUUUGUUGUUUCAUUGUAAUUAGCUUAUCGUAAUUGUUUCAAAAUCUUUAUUGUAACAGUCUGAAGAAGUAAUAUCGCUGCUUAUAUAGAGGAUUAUCCCCAUUUUGGUCACUGUAUGGAAAAGUUGAUAUGCAUGUGUUCUCAAUGUGUUCUCAAGUAUCGGACCUAUGUACGUGAUUUGUUAUGGUAGGAAGGCUCCAUGAUUUAACGACGUUGAAUAGCACGUGUGUUUGUUCAUCUCCCGCCGUAGAGUAUCAUUAUAUUUUCUUUUUUAAAUUAAAGUCGAGCUCUUGAAUUUUUUCUUUUCAAAUUAAAAUCAAGUCCUUACAUUUUGAAGUUUUAAAGUUAAGCAAAGUUUUUUCUUGAAGUAGAUUUUUAGUUACAAAAAUAGAAUCACGCUCGUUAAAUAUUUUGUGGACGUUCGUUACCUGCAGCAACAUUGCACUCAGAAAUGCAUCUGAAUACUUAAGCAUAUUGAUUUUUAAUUCAGAAUAAUCAUAUAUUUUUUCCCUUUCAUUUUCAUAACUGCAUAUUUGAUAUGUACAUAUAUAUAUGAAAUAUACACAUAUUUCAUACUUACAUGUUAAUACAGUAUUACAACAAUUCGCUCAAAAGUCCUUAUGCGAUAAAAAUAAUAUGUCAACGCAGCCUUACCAAGAGUUGUAAAAUGUGUAAUAUGUUGUAAUCAUUAUGAUCAUUAUCAUUAUCCUUUUAUAAUCUGAUUCUCAUUAUUCUUAUUAUUCUGAUUACACGAGGGUGGUAUAAAAAGUUCCCGACCUCCACAUGAUGAUAACACUCGUCAAUAAAAGCUAAAGAAUGUGCUUGCGCAUUUUUUAAAACUCACCAAAAUUUCAGUCAUUUUGGAUGCGCAGUUGUUGUUUGACAAUCAUUUAAGUGAAUCGAUCUGGAUUUAAACGUGUCCGUACUAGCUUGGGAGACGAUGAACGUUCGGGACGUCCAAAAACUGCAACCACUGAUGAUAACAUCGCUCAAGUUUAUCAAAGGUACUAGAUAACCGUUAAAUUAAAGUGAAAGAGAUAACAGAGCCUAUAAAUAUGUCCAAAGAACAUGUUUAUCACAUAUUGAAUCAAGAUUUAGGUAUGAGGAAGCUGUCCGCGCAUUGAGUACCGCGUUUACUUAUAUUAGACCAAAAAAAUGUUCGGAUGAACAUUUCUAAGGCUCUGUUGGUACAGUUUAGACGUAAUAAAUCAGAGUUUUGGCGCCGAUUAAUUACUGUAGAGAAAACUUGGAUACACCAUUAUAUCCCAGAAACAAAAAUACAGUCAAAACAGUGGAUUGCGAAGGAGGAAUCGGCUCUAAAAAAAACAAAAACUGUUUUUUCAGCUUGGAAAUUAAUGGCGACUAUUUUUGGGGAUAGUCAUGGAGUUAUCUUAAUCGAUUAUCUUCAAAAAGAUAAAAUCAUUACAGGAGCAUACUACGCAUCAUUACAUGUUGAAGGCAGAAAUUGCGGAAAAAUGGCUACAUUUGCAGAAAAAAAAAUUUGUUUCAUCAAAAAAGUGUCUCAUACCUUAGCGUUUGCCAUGGCGAAAAUCCACUAAUUACGAUUUGAACUAUUUGAUUACACCCACCUUACUCACCAGAUCUAGCCCCAAGCAAAACUUUUUGUUCCCUAAGCUAAAAAUUGCGCUCGGAGGACAAAGAUUUUCGUCAAAUGAGGAGGACAUUACCUUUGUAAGCAAUUAUUUUGCAGAGAAAAACACCGAGUACUAUUUGAACGGGUUAAAGAGAUGGGAUCAUUGUUGGAAGAAGUAUAUAGACUUACAAGGAGACCAUGUAGAAAAAUAAAAAUAAAUUUGAAUAAAAAAUGUCUUGUAUCUUUGUUAGGUUGGAAACUUUUCAGAUCACCCAUAUAAAUCUACAAGACUUGAUUUCUACAUCGAGAAAUGAUAUGUCUACAUUUAGGAAUGCAAAUGAAUAUAUUAUAGCAAGGAUAUACAUUUCUCAUUCAGAAUGAUCAAAAAUAAAUAAAUGAAUGAGUGCAUUAAUAAAGAUACUUAAUGAACCAAUAUUUAAAUAUUUUAAUCUUUCACAAUAUUUUUUUCAAGAAAUUAAAGUUGUUUAAUAAUAAAUAGAGAACAUUUCAUUUUGUUUCACAUAUAAUUAUUGACUUAUAUUUAAA